rnacentral:rRNA from 1 species
UGGAGAGUUUGAUCCUGGCUCAGGAUGAACGCUGGCGGCGUGCUUAACACAUGCAAGUCGAACGAUGAUCCCAGCUUGCUGGGGGAUUAGUGGCGAACGGGUGAGUAACACGUGAGUAACCUGCCCUUGACUCUGGGAUAAGCCUGGGAAACUGGGUCUAAUACCGGAUACGACCAUUCCACGCAUGUGGUGGUGGUGGAAAGCUUUUGUGGUUUUGGAUGGACUCGCGGCCUAUCAGCUUGUUGGUGGGGUAAUGGCCUACCAAGGCGACGACGGGUAGCCGGCCUGAGAGGGUGACCGGCCACACUGGGACUGAGACACGGCCCAGACUCCUACGGGAGGCAGCAGUGGGGAAUAUUGCACAAUGGGCGCAAGCCUGAUGCAGCGACGCCGCGUGAGGGAUGACGGCCUUCGGGUUGUAAACCUCUUUCAGUAGGGAAGAAGCGUAAGUGACGGUACCUGCAGAAGAAGCGCCGGCUAACUACGUGCCAGCAGCCGCGGUA